rnacentral:rRNA from 1 species
CCUACGGGAGGCAGCAGUGAGGAAUAUUGGUCAAUGGGCGGAAGCCUGAACCAGCCAAGUCGCGUGAGGGAAGACGGUCCUACGGAUUGUAAACCUCUUUUGCCGGGGAGCAACGGGGUCCUUGCGAGGGCCCGAUGAGAGUACCCGGAGAAAAAGCAUCGGCAAACUCCGUGCCAGCAGCCGCGGUAUAACGGGGGAUGCGAGCGUUAUCGGGAUUUUUGGGGUUUAAGGGUUGCGUAGGGGGGCUGUUAGGUCAGCGGUAAAGUGUGGGGGCUAAACCCCGGCCUGCCGUUGAAACUGGCGGGCUUGAGUGGGCGAGAAGUAUGCGGAAUGCGUGGUGUAGCGGUGAAAUGCAUAGAUAUCACGCAGAACUCCGAUUGCGAAGGCAGCAUACCGGCGCCCUACUGACGCUGAGGCACGAAAGCGUGGGUAUCGAACAGGAUUAGAUACCCCUGUAGUC